AGGAUAAACGCUGGCGGCGUGCCUAACACAUGCAAGUCGAACGUCUCUUCUUUCGGGAAGAGGAGUGGCGGACGGGUGAGGAACACGUGGGAACCUGCCCUUCAGUGAGGAAUACCGGCGAGAAAUCGCCGACAAGACCGCAUAGCCCUCUCUGGUGAGAGCCAGAGAAGGAAAGCCUCGCAAGAGGCGCUGGAGGAGGGGCCUGCGUCCGAUUAGCUAGUUGGUGGGGUAAGAGCCUACCAAGGCGUCGAUCGGUAGCUGGUCUGAGAGGACGAUCAGCCACACUGGGAUUGAGAACGGCCCAGACUCCUACGGGGGCAGCAGUGAGGAAUUUUCGGCAAUGGGGGAAACCCUGACCGAGCAACGCCGCGUGCAGGAAGACGGCCUUCGGGUUGUAAACUGCUUUUCUUUGGGACGAGCAAGGACGGUACCAGAGGAAUCAGCCCCGGCUCACUACGUGCCAGCAGCCGC
rnacentral:rRNA from 1 species